rnacentral:sRNA from 1 species
AGGUGUGCUGGUGCACACCUGUAAUCCCAGUGACUUGGAAGGCUGAGACAGGAGGAUCACAUGUUCAAGGCUGACCUCAGCAACUUAGCAAGAUCCUAAGCAACUUAGUGAGAACCUGUCUCAA